rnacentral:rRNA from 1 species
CCUGGCUCAGAUUGAACGCUGGCGGCAUGCCUUACACAUGCAAGUCGAACGGCAGCGGACCUUCGGGUGCCGGCGAGUGGCGAACGGGUGAGUAAUAUAUCGGAACGUACCUUCAGUGGGGAUAACGUAGCGAAAGUUACGCUAAUACCGCAUAUUCUGUGAGCAGGAAAGCAGGGGAUCGCAAGACCUUGCGCUGAUUGAGCGGCCGAUAUCAGAUUAGCUAGUUGGUGAGGUAAAGGCUCACCAAGGCGACGAUCUGUAGCGGGUCUGAGAGGAUGAUCCGCCACACUGGAACUGAGACACGGUCCAGACUCCUACGGGAGGCAGCAGUGGGGAAUUUUGGACAAUGGGCGCAAGCCUGAUCCAGCCAUGCCGCGUGAGUGAAGAAGGCCUUCGGGUUGUAAAGCUCUUUCGGCCGGGAAGAAAUCGCACAGGUUAAUACCCUGUGUGGAUGACGGUACCGGAAUAAGAAGCACCGGCUAACUACGUG